CAGCAAAUAUGUGUUAUUAAAUCAAGUAUUCUGCGAUAUUGACAAAUAUGUCAAAAACAAAGUUAGUUGUCAUAUACCCGUGAUUAUAAAUAUUUCAAUCCGAAAAUAUAAUUUUGAAAAUGGCUGCAAAUGAUAAUAGCCGAUAUGUUAUAUCUGAAAGGAGCAGCACCGAACAGCACAUGGAUCAAGAGGUGCCAAUGCUAGAGUGGGACCAAACUAGGUUGCAGCAGGAAAUUGCAAGUGUCCUACAAAGAAAAACCUGGUCUGCAUAUAUUGGGUUACCGAACAACACCAAACAGCAGAUGAUGAUAACAUUUGACAGGCAUUUCAGACCCGCUUUGAGGAAAAUGAGUCGCGGUUCAUUAAUGACGUUUAUUUACGGCAUGCAGGAUCAGGAGGUGCCAAUGCCAGAGCUGGACCGAAGCAGGUUGCGGCAGGAGAUUUUAAGUUUCCUUCAAAGAAUAAGUAGGUCUGCAGACGAUGCGCUAAAUUAAACUUUUAUAAAUUAAGAAUAAGAACCUAAUUCCUUUUUUAUUUUAAUAAUAUAAAAUUAUGAUAAAUAGA
rnacentral:lncRNA from 1 species